AUAACUUGCAUCAAGACUUCCUGUCCUGAAAAGGAAUGUGUUGUAAAUGGCGUGACUUACAAGACUUAAGGUUGGAGACUAUUUCAAGGAUGAAUGCAAUAAAUGCAUAUGUCUUGAGGGAGGGAAUCCAUCUUGCACCAAGACAAUCUGCCCUAAAGAAUGUGUUGCAAAUGGUAAGCGUUACAAUCCUGGAGACCUUUACAAAGACGGAUGCGAAAUAUGCAUAUGCCGUGGUGGGUACGCAGAGUGCUUCAAGGGGUUAUGCUUAUCAGAUUCAUGUCUCCUAAAUGGUGUUAGUUACAAGAUUGGAGAACUGUUCAAAGAUCGUUGCAAUAUAUGCACAUGUCGUAAAACUCGUACAGGUGCAUCUGCAGAAUGUACCAGGACGGCCUGCUCUACUUCACAAGAGAUAGCAGCAGUGGAAGAACAAGACUAACGUUGCGGCGGCCGGACCACUCAAUUGAAGUCACAAAUGGACUUGAAUCAUAUAGUUACUAGAUAAAAUACUACAAACUUGCAUAGAGCGUUUGAAAGAUGUGUACCUCCUCUGGCCAUGGUUUGA